GGCUCUCAUGCUGUCCUUCUCCUAGGCGUCUGACAGUGGCCACCACGGCUCAGGGAGAGGUCUCAAGCCUCGUGACCAGUACCCAGAAACCAGUUCCACAAGUCCCUGUGGGGGACCGCCUCCUUUAUCAGCAGCCACUGGAUGUCUACCUUUGAGGACCCUGCUGAACAAAAGCAUUCUCUUCUCCAGCAUCCAGGGUGGUGACCCCUCACACGGAUGUGUUUGGUUUCCCUGUUAGAGCAUGAAUUCCUUCAGGCUGUUUUCCAGUUGAUACGUUCCGAGUUUCUGCACAGAGGCUCCCAAGAACCACACACAGGCACUGGAAGAUCAGGACCUGCUGACACCGCUCCUGGCCCAGGGGUUCUGUGUUCUCAGCAGGAGGGUCGGUCUGGCUUUGAGCCAUACACUGCCUCUCCCAUCACUGACCCCUGUUAGCACCUUGCUUGCUGGCGGCAGGGCAGGGGGCUGCCAGCACUUUUCAGAGAGGAGAGAGAAGGCUGAGCAAAACAUCUGUUGUCCUCAGAAAGAGUCCCACCAGCCAAGGGACGCUAUGCCAGGCUUCUUCCCCAGGGACAGAGGCACUGGGGAGGGUGAUGGGGAGCCCCCACUUGCUGGCCUGCAGGGACAAGGGUCAGCUCACCUCUAUCUGGCUAACCCUUUGAGGGGAAAGGCAUUGAAGCGGCUUCGAAGAAGAAACCCUUGGAACAUUCUCCAGAUCACAGGCUGGGAUGCAGCCGGCAGCCUGGGAAAAAGAUGCAUACAGAGGUGUUUGUCUAAAACAGAAUUAAAAUCUUAUGUAGGGCUUUCCGGGUGGCUCAGUGCUAAAGAAUCUGUCUGCCAGUCCUGGAGACACAGGUUCGAUCCCUAGUUGGGGAAGAUCACACAGGCUGAGAAGCAACUAAGUCUGUGUGCCACAUAUACGGAGCCCACGUGCUGCCAACUACUGAAGCCCGCACGCCCUGGAGCCUGUGCUCCACAAGAGAAGCCACUGCAAUGAGAAGCUGAAGCACUGUACCUGGAGAGUAGCCCCCAUUCAGCAC
ensembl:lncRNA